rnacentral:rRNA from 1 species
UACGUAGGGACCAAGCGUUGUCCGGAAUCAUUGGGCGUAAAGAGCUCGUAGGCGGUCUGUCGCGUCUGCUGUGAAAACUCGGGGCUUAACCCCGGGCCUGCAGUGGGUACGGGCAGACUAGAGUGCGGUAGGGGAGACUGGAAUUCCUGGUGUAGCGGUGAAAUGCGCAGAUAUCAGGAGGAACACCGGUGGCGAAGGCGGGUCUCUGGGCCGUAACUGACGCUGAGGAGCGAAAGCAUGGGGAGCGAACAGG